rnacentral:rRNA from 1 species
GAGACUCUGUGCGCGUGCAUAUCAAUAAGCGGAGGAAAAGAAACUAACAAGGAUUCCCUUAGUAACGGCGAGUGAAGCGGGAAGAGCUCAAAUUUGAAAUCUUCAAGGUUCUACCUUGACGAAUUGUAGUUUAUAGAAGUGUUUUCUGUUAGUAGAGGUGGCUAAAAGUUCUUUGGAAUAGGACAUCAUAGAGGGUGAGAAUCCCGUACUUGAUCAUUCUUUCUAACGUUGUAAUACACUUUCAACGAGUCGGAUUGUUUGGGAAUGCAGUCCAAAAUGGGUGGUAAAUUUCAUCUAAAGCUAAAUAUUGGCGAGAGACCGAUAGCGAACAAGUACCGUGAGGGAAAGAUGAAAAGAACUUUGAAAAGAGAGUUAAACAGUACGUGAAAUUGUCAAAAGGGAAGCGUUUGACACCAGUGUUGUUUUUCCGAAAAUCAAUUACGAAUGUUUUGUUUUUAAGAAGUUAUGACUUCAUCGGCUUGCUUCUUUCUUUACGAAACUUUCUUAAUGCACUUUUCGGUUAACAAGUCAACAUCAAUUUCUUUUGUUGUAAAAGGGUAUGAGGAAGGUGGCUUUCUUUUCGGAGAAAGUGUUUAUAGCCUUGUACCUCUGCAAUCGGAGAGAUUGAGGUCUGCAGCGUAGAUCCUUCGGGGUUAGAUACAUUUGUGCUAAGUUAUAGCUUUUCAUAGACAACUUGUUGACUAUGUUUAGUCUUGUAGCUUACUCGCUGACGCUAUUUUACCUACGCUUAGGAUGUUGACGAUCAGCUGAGCGCG